rfam:Triticum urartu cultivar G1812 contig271023, whole genome shotgun sequence.
CAAAUACUCCCUCCGUUCUGAAUUACUUGUCGCAAGUAUUGAUGUAUCUAAAUGUAUUUUAGUUCUAGAUAUAUCCAUUUCUGCGACAAGUAAUUUGGAACGGAGAGAGUAACAA